GCUGAUAACUUACUUUAAUUUCAUUUAUUGAUAAUAACUUUACACUACAAAUUCAUAGCAAAACACUAUACUUCUUCCCAUAAUACUACCAUAUACCUAAGAUAACUACCAUUCUACCCAAAUUACAAUUCUGCCUGCAACUAAUCAUCAUUUGAAAAAUAUGGUAACAGUAGUAAACACACUACCGCAAACAGUACUCUCUUUUUUAUUCUACUUCUCUGCAUUUUUGUUUCCAUCUUUCUGACCUUCUGCAACAAAGUAGGUAUAAUUUGUUUGGCCCUUUCACAUAUUAAGGGAUCAACCCAUUGGUAAAAGCCACAACCAUUCUGCCAUUAACACACAAAAAAAUAAACAAAGUUAAUCAAAAUUUCUCAUAGUGAUUUUUUCUAAUUUGUUAUUCAUAUAUUUCAACUUACAUGUCACCUAGUAAGAAAUCUUCUUCCUAGAUUCAUAGAACUCCAUGAGGUCCUAUACGCAAAAGGAUUCAUGCAGCCACAAUUUUGUUCUUUC
rnacentral:lncRNA from 1 species